GACGAACCGUGCGAACGUUAUUCGGAAUCAUUGGGCUUAAAGAGCGCGUAGGCGGCGACGUAAGUUGGAAGUGAAAUCCCAUCGGCUCAACCGUGGAAUUGCUCCCAGUACUGCGUUGCUCGAGGGAGAUAGAGGACUGUGGAACUGCCGGUGGAGCGGUGAAAUGUGUUGAUAUCGGCGGGAACGCCAGUGGCGAAAGCGACAGUCUGGACCUCUUCUGACGCUGAGGCGCGAAAGCUAGGGUAGCGAACGG
rnacentral:rRNA from 1 species